GGUCGGCGGCGGACAGGCGCCUCGCCAACCCGGUCAGGUCCGGAAGGAAGCAGCCGCAACGAGUUUCCGUCUGGGUCGUUCCGCCGGUCUUC
rnacentral:SRP_RNA from 1 species